AGUCAUCUGGUUGAGGCGAACUGUCACUGAGGAGUGAGGCAACUGUCAGUAAUGAUCCCACACGACACAGAUGUGAUAGCGGCUGAUGGCAGUGGAGGAACCUCACUUCUGCAAAUGGAUUCUCUGCAGCUCGCCAAUUUCCUUGUUGGGCACCGUGGAGGCUGUCAGAUUAACCAGGAAAGAAGGGAGGAAGGCACAUGGAAGACCUUCACCUCUCAGCAAAUGACAUCCUUAAGCAUUUAACAUCUCAGCUACAACCUACUUGAUGUGACCAGUGUGACAUUUGUCUUGCCAAAAUCUUGUAUCAACAGGAUUAAUGCCUGGACUAAACCAACAGAGUAUUUUUUAAUAUAAAUUUAAUAUAAUUGCAGAUACUAAAACUGAUGUUUUAAAUUCUUGGGCC
rnacentral:lncRNA from 1 species